rnacentral:rRNA from 1 species
AUUGAACGCUGGCGGCAUGCCUUACACAUGCAAGUCGAACGGCAGCGGGUCCUUCGGGAUGCCGGCGAGUGGCGAACGGGUGAGUAAAGUAUCGGAACGUACCCGGGAGUGGGGGAUAACGUAGCGAAAGUUACGCUAAUACCGCAUAUUCUGUGAGCUGGAAAGAGGGGGAUCUUCGGUCCUCUCGCUUUCGUAGGGUCCGAUAUCAGAUUAGCCAGUUGGUGGGGUAAAGGCCUACCAAGGCGGCGAUCUGGUGCGGGUCUGAGAGGAUGAUCCGCCACACUGGGACUGAGACCCGGCCCAGACUCCUACGGGAGGCUGCAGUGGGGAAUUUUGGACAAUGGGCGAAAGCCUGAUCCAGCCAUGCCGCGUGAGUGAAGAAGGCCUUCGGGUUGUAAAGCUCUUUCGGCCGGGAAAAAAUCGCAUUUCUGAAUAAGGGGUGUGGAUGAUGGUACCAGCAUAAGAAGCACCGGCUAACUACGUGCCAGCCGCCGCAGUAA